rnacentral:rRNA from 1 species
CCUACGGGAGGCAGCAGUGAGGAAUAUUGGUCAAUGGACGAAAGUCUGAACCAGCCACGUCGCGUGAAGGAAGACUGCUCUAUGGGUUGUAAACUUCUUUUAUAUGGGAGUAAAACAGGGUAUGCAUACCCUCUUGUAUGUAUCAUAUGAAUAAGGAUCGGCUAACUCCGUGCCAGCAGCCGCGGUAAUACGGAGGAUCCGAGCGUUAUCCGGAUUUAUUGGGUUUAAAGGGUGCGUAGGGGGAUGGUUAAGUCAGUUGUGAAAGUUUGCGGCUCAACCGCAAAAUUGCAGUUGAAACUGGCAGUCUUGAGUGCAGUAGAGGUGGGCGGAAUUCGUGGUGUAGCGGUGAAAUGCUUAGAUAUCACGAAGAACACCGAUUGCGAAGGCAGCUCACUGGACUGCAACUGACGCUGAGGCUCGAAAGUGUGGGUAGCAAACAGGAUUAGAUACCCGGGUAGUC